GAUCCUGGCUCAGGAUGAACGCUAGCUACAGGCUUAACACAUGCAAGUCGAGGGGCAGCAUGGUCUUAGCUUGCUAAGGCCGAUGGCGACCGGCGCACGGGUGAGUAACACGUAUCCAACCUGCCGUCUACUCUUGGACAGCCUUCUGAAAGGAAGAUUAAUACAAGAUGGCAUCAUGAGUCCGCAUGUCACAUGUAUAAGUNUCGUAGA
rnacentral:rRNA from 1 species